GGCUGGGUAGCUCAGUUGGUAGAGCAGGAGAAUCAUAAUCUCUUGGUCGUGGGUUCGAGUCCCUCCUUAGCCACCA
rnacentral:tRNA from 1 species